rnacentral:rRNA from 1 species
GAUGAACGCUGGCGGCGUGCCUAAUACAUGCAAGUCGAGCGACCAGACGAGGAGCUUGCUCCUCUGCCGUUAGCGGCUGACGGGCGAGUAACACAUGCAUCCCCAUCUACUAUUUCUUGGUUAAUUCCGGAAAACCGCUUACAAUACUGCCUAAUACGUCCAACCGCUUGCUUCAACGGGUCAUCAGGCCUUUCCCGAUUCUAUUAGCCGAUUCCGGGCCGCAUUAGCUAGUUGGUAAGGUAACGGCUUACCAAGGCAACGAUGCGUAGCCGACCUGAGAGGGUGAUCGGCCACACUGGAACUGAGACACGGUCCAGACUCCUACGGGAGGCAGCAGUAGGGAAUCUUCCGCAAUGGGCGAAAGCCUGACGGAGCAACGCCGCGUGAGUGAAGAAGGUCUUCGGAUCGUAAAACUCUGUUAUUAGGGAAGAACAAAUGUGUAAGUAACUAUGCACGUCUUGACGGUACCUAAUCAGAAAGCCACGGCUAACUACGUG